GAUGAAGAACGCAGCGAAAUGCGAUAAGUAAUGUGAAUUGCAGAAUUCAGUGAAUCAUCGAAUCUUUGAACGCACAUUGCGCCCGCCAGUAUUCUGGCGGGCAUGCCUGUUCGAGCGUCAUUACAACCCUCAGGCCCCCGGGCCUGGCGUUGGGGAUCGGCGGAGCCCCCCGUGGGCACACGCCGUCCCCCAAAUGCAGUGGCGGUCCCGCCGCAGCUUCCAUCGCGUAGUAGCUAACACCUCGCGACUGGAGAGCGGCGCGGCCACGCCGUAAAACACCCAACUCUUCUGAAGUUGACCUCGAAUCAGGUAGGAAUACCCGCUGACCUUAAGCAUAUCAAUAAGCGGAGGA
rnacentral:misc_RNA from 1 species